rnacentral:rRNA from 1 species
UACAGAGGUCUCAAGCGUUGUUCGGAUUCAUUGGGCGUAAAGGGCGCGUAGGCGGCGGGGUAAGUCGGGUGUGAAAUCUCAGAGCUCAACUCUGAAACUGCACUCGAUACUGCUCUGCUUGAGGACUGGAGAGGAGACUGGAAUUCACGGUGUAGCAGUGAAAUGCGUAGAUAUCGUGAGGAAGACCAGUGGCGAAGGCGGGUCUCUGGACAGUUCCUGACGCUGAGGAGCGAAAGCUGGGGAGCAGAACGAGGA